GAUGAACGCUGGCGGCGUGCCUAAUACAUGCAAGUCGAGCGAACAGACGAGGAGCUUGCUCCUCUGACGGUAGCGGCGGACGGGUGAGUAACACGUGGAUAACCUACCUAUAAGACUGGGAUAACUUCGGGAAACCGGAGCUAAUACCGGAUAAUAUAUUGAACCGCAUGGUUCAAUAGUGAAAGACGGUUUUGCUGUCACUUAUAGAUGGAUCCGCGCCGCAUUAGCUAGUUGGUAAGGUAACGGCUUACCAAGGCAACGAUGCGUAGCCGACCUGAGAGGGUGAUCGGCCACACUGGAACUGAGACACGGUCCAGACUCCUACGGGAGGCAGCAGUAGGGAAUCUUCCGCAAUGGGCGAAAGCUUGACGGAGCAACGCCGCGUGAGUGAUGAAGGUCUUCGGAUCGUAAAACUCUGUUAUUAGGGAAGAACAAAUGUGUAAGUAACUAUGCACGUCUUGACGGUACCUAAUCAGAAAGCCACGGCUAACUACGUG
rnacentral:rRNA from 1 species